CUCUCUCGUUCCUCCCCAACUACGCCUCGGCGUACACUUAAAAAAAAACUAGGGUUGCCGCCGCCGCCGCCGCCCCAUUGUUCCUCUGGCACUGCCCACCGGAGAGGGAUGACCGUGGGAGGAGCAGCCACGCAAGGUGGAGCCCUCGUCACGAUGAAGCAGCGGGAAGAGGAGCCCCACCCAGAUGAGUUCCUCCACGUCGCCCAUGGACGGUCCUUCUUCCCUGGAGACGCCCAGGGCUGACGGAUGUUGCUUGUCGUCAGCCCAGGGCCCGGUUGGCCGGAGCAGUCGGAGAGGAGUGGCAGGCUCGCCGUCGCCAUCGCCGGUAGGAGCGCCAGGCCCAUCUUCCUCGCAUCGGCCGGGCUGUUCGCGCGGCGGGGUGGAGUUCGUGCGAGGCGGAUGUUCGCCGAUCUGUUCCUGCGAGCCCUUGGUUACCUGUGCUGCCUUAUUUCCUAGGUGCCGCCAUCCUAGCAAGCACGGCCACGCCGGCGUCUUCUCUGGUGCUACCGGCAAGCAAUCGACCACGCCGCUGCCAAGCCUCUGGCGCUCCCUGGUAGCCAUCCCUACAUCUCUCUGGUACAACCGUCCCCUUCCCUCUCCUCUAGUAUGGAUCGAAUUUGGCCAUAGAUACUUGGACUGUAGAUAAUUUCCAGAUUUGUGAGCAUUGAUGGUUGUGCUUUCUUGUUCAUGUUCUGGUGAGGAAGAAGGGAAAACGCUGGAGCCAAUAGAUGUUUAGUGGGACUAUGUUCUGAAUUGACAAAGCUAAAGGAAUCACAUGCCAUCUAUCUCUCAAAUUGGUUAUUUGGACGGUGAGAUUAGCUUGUUUUGAUAAUUUUUCUCAAUGCAAGGAAGGAAACAGAAUAUGGGGAUUGCAACUAUGGAAUGGGGAUUAGAUAUUCUUGACAGAGAGGCAUAGAUUUCUAAUGUCAGUCUUUGAUAGAGUUCACAUAUGACUGCAGUUUUUACAUCUAUGGAAUUGUGAUUGGAUAUUCUUGAGUAUCCAGUUCUUCACUGUUAAUUGAAUAUAUAUUGGAAGUCAAAUUUCUAGUACAAGUUAAAGUGUGAUAGGGAACUGCUUAACAACAUUAUAAACUGUUGAACCAAAAGCACUUCACUGAAAGAGCCAGAGUAUGCUUAUCAAUUUAUUGUCCGCCUCACAGUGGUUUAUCAAUUUAUUGUCCGCCUCACAGUGGUUGUAUUCAGGUUACUUUUUUGCCCUGAGUUUCAGCAUUGACUAUUGUUUGCAUAUGUGAUCAGAUUUCCAUUCUUCUUUUAGGCAACAGAUAGGUUUAUUGAUAUGGCUCGUAUGCAAGCUCCUGCGGAAGUGAAUCUCAAUUUGCCAGUAUGAAAAAUUACGCUUGUGCGGCAUAUGCUCAUUUGCUAUCAGAUGGUUACAGCUUAAGGCAUGCUAUCAAACACGCAAGAUGGAGUUGAAACUGUUCGUCUUUGCCUAGCAGCAUCAGAAUUACAAUUUAGCUGUAUCUCAGGUCACAAAAUGCUUUGGAUAGCGUAUGUACUCAUGUCAGUUGCAUUCCAUGUCUUUUGUCUCGUCUAUUUUAUUUGGAUCAGGAGAUGGAAAAUUAAGGUAACCAUUCUCGGUGUCGUCACUAUCAUCCUCACAUCGAGAUGUCUCCAACAAUGCCGCCAUACAUGUCCCUCGUGUUGUCAUUGUCAUCCUGAUAGGCAGCUCGAAUGCUUGGUUAGAGGAUCCCAGGUGCAAGGCAAACCGCCAUCUUCUCUCUCACUGUUCAUCGUCUCUAGACGCACCGCCGUCGACAUCAGCUACCGCCUAUACAUAUGAUCCAUGUAUCAUCUUUAGUAUCUCUCAUGCUCAGGAGAGGCAGAGGUCACCCAGCUAGCUCGUGCAGGUAUCAUAUCAGUCUACCAUAUAUAUACACACAGCUAGCUCAUGAUCUGGGCAUCUUCUCAGCUGGCUAUUUUUGGUUGGUUCAUGAUUAGCUCGCGUCGUUCUAGCUCGAUACCCAGUAAGCAUAAUCCAACACAUUGGAGUGUGCAUCUUAAAAAGAUGGAUAUUACUCAACAGCAACCAACACUUGUAUUGUCUAAAAUCACCUACUGUUUUUAAUAAUGAAAGGAUCAAAAGGCAUUAAGCCUUGGUCAGUAGAUCUCUUAAGUUUCAGAUGUGGAUGGAAUGUUUCUCUCUAGACUACAUGUUUAGUUAAUUUUGGGCCAAAUUUUCUUGGUGCUGAAACAAUUCGCAAGUGCUUGCAAAUUUCACCAAGGGCGAUGGAGAUAUGCAAGCACAUUAGCUGAUGAGAGGAUGUACUAAAUGUUAUGCAGAAACCAAAUGAAUAACUUUUCUUGCUCAUCCCUAUAUCAUGUUCUCAGUCUUGUAUCUUCUGAUCAGUUAAGUCAUAUUGGCUUGUGAUCUUUUUUCCAUUCAGUCAGUCUCAAAUCUCAUCUUGGCAUAUACAUAAGAAAGAAGAAGCCAAGAGCAUGUGAAAUGUAUCUGUACAUGUCUGCCACAUAAUUCUAGUUUUUAUUUGCUCCGUGAAAAUAGUUGCACGGGAGGCGUAAUGAGAUGCUUCAGCAAGAAAAGUGUGCCACAAGCACGCACUUGGCGGGCCCCAGCCACUUGUAGGUUAGGGCACGCCUCCUUUCUCCUUCGUUUCUAGGUACCGUGUAUAGCUUGAGAGACAAGUUGAGUUGAUGUUGUGCAUCCUUUGUACCUAUACAUGUGCACUUGCACGUGAGCAAUGAAUUGAGUCACAUCCAAUCCAACCUUUUCUAAUAA